AUUUUGCUGUGAACACAAAGCAUGCCAGGACUUUGAUUCAGGGAUGGUUUCCCCACAUUGUGCUGCAGUUGGAUACCUCACAACCCAUCUAUUGCCCUUUGAAGGUACCACCCUAAGGUGUAGAGGUUUGCUAUAGCAUAGUCAGUGCAAACAUGAGUAAGUUGAAUUUUGUGAAAAUAACAGCACUUCAUGGAUUACCAGGGACUGAGGAAUGGGAAAGGAUCAAAAUAAAUAAUUAACAACAGAGAACUGCAAUGCAAAAGUGUUUUAGAUAUGCUAGACAAUAACAUAAUAUGAUAGAGACAAUCUUCUUCCUGGAAAGACUGCAAAACCUGUACAGUUAUUGUUGAUCAGCACAAUGAAAACUAUGCUCUCACCUUCU